rnacentral:rRNA from 1 species
GACGAACGCUGGCGGCGUGCUUAACACAUGCAAGUCGAACGGAAAGGCCCUGCUUUUGUGGGGUGCUCGAGUGGCGAACGGGUGAGUAACACGUGAGUAACCUGCCCUUGACUUUGGGAUAACUUCAGGAAACUGGGGCUAAUACCGGAUAGGAGCUCCUGCUGCAUGGUGGGGGUUGGAAAGUUUCGGCGGUUGGGGAUGGACUCGCGGCUUAUCAGCUUGUUGGUGGGGUAGUGGCUUACCAAGGCUUUGACGGGUAGCCGGCCUGAGAGGGUGACCGGCCAAAUUGGGACUGAGAUACGGCCCAGACUCCUACGGGAGGCAGCAGUGGAGAAUAUUGCACAAUGGGCGGAAGGCUGAUGCAGCAACGCCGCGUGCGGGAUGACGGCCUUCGGGUUGUAAACCGCUUUCGCCUUUGACGAAGCGUUAGUGACGGUAAUGGGUAAAGAAGCACCGGCUAACUACGUG